rnacentral:rRNA from 1 species
GACGAACGCUGGCGGCGUGCUUAACACAUGCAAGUCGAACGGAAAGGCCCUGCUUUUGUGGGGUGCUCGAGUGGCGAACGGGUGAGUAACACGUGAGUAACCUGCCCUUGACUUUGGGAUAACUUCAGGAAACUGGGGCUAAUACCGGAUAGGAGCUCCUGCUGCAUGGUGGUGGUUGGAAAGUUUCGGCGGUUGGGGCUGGACUCGCGGCUUAUCAGCUUGUUGGUGGGGUAGUGGCUUACCAAGGCUUUGACGGGUAGCCGGCCUGAGAGGGUGACCGGCCACAUUGGGACUGAGAUACGGCCCAGACGCCUACGGGAGGCAGCAGUGGGGAAUAUUGCACAAUGGGCGGAAGCCUGAUGCAGCAACGCCGCGUGCGGGAUGACGGCCUUCGGGUUGUAAACCGCUUUCGCCUGUGACGAAGCGUGAGUGACGGUAAUGGGUAAAGAAGCACCGGCUAACUACGUG